UAAAACCCUUUAAAAAUCCCUUGU
rnacentral:siRNA from 1 species